CCAACUGUCGUGAGCAGUGGAGCAAGGAGGUGGCAGCUGUGUUUUUGGCUUUUCCUGCAUUGAAUUAUACUGCAGUGAUCUCCAAACAAGACAUUUCUCAAUCAGACGUGAAAUGUUUGUUUUCCUGUUCAAAAAAUUAAUCUGCUGCCCGUGGUAUGCAUGGCAUCUUGCAUAUUUCUCUCCCUACUCACUGUCAAGUGACUUGAUAAUUCCAACAGAAACUGCCACAAAAGCUGGAAGUCAGAUGGUCUGCAACUUAAUUAAUCAAUCAGUUUACUAUAUUAGCAAACUUAAAGGAAUUCUGAUGCAGACCCAAUGCUUAAAUCUGCUGCGACAUCUGCAGUCAAUCAUGCUUACAUUACCCAUUAACAAAUUACAUCUGUGCUAAGCAAGAUACCCUGUGGUUCCACCAUGCAGAGAGCUGGAGGACCACGGGCACCAGGACGAGCAAGGCACAAAGGAGAGAGGCUACAGCAGAACAGUUUUUACUGCUGAAUGGUGAAGCAAGAUGACAGCAUCAGCAGAAGAGCUGUUAUCAAGUAUCACUGCCUGCAUCCUGUGGUUGUGCCGUACUGGACCAUGGGCAGCCUGGCUCCAGCCAAGUGCACAGCUCAGGCUCUGUGCAGUACUGCACAUCCUAAUUCAGCAUCAAACCUCUGAAUUCCCAUACGUGUGCCAUGAACAAGAGGAGUCUCCAGGAGGAAAAAAAAAAAAGCAAAGAAUGGGGAAAAAAAUGAGAAGGAAGGUCACAAAGCAGGAGCCCAGGUUGGCUUAGUCCCUGAUUAUGCUUUGGACUAGAGGCCAGGAUUUUCCCAUUGACAUGGACAAAUUGGUCUACUUUAUUGCAUUCUGGAGAUUUGAUCCUCCUCUGCAGUCUGCUGGGCAACUUCCAAAGGAUAGAAUUGGAUUCCUCACCAUAAAGUUUCUCCUUCCAAGAUGGAAAGGGCUUUUAUGGCAAAGUAUAAAAUCAAAAAACAAGCUGUCACUCGCAUUUGCUGCACUGCUCUUUCUGUGCACUGUAAGAAGCACUCUCAGGGUUUUGAAGCCUGCUGUAUUAAGUGUGAGAUGGUGAAAAGGUCAUGACAGAAGGGCUGGUGAGAUUGAGAUUGAGUGCAGGAGCAUUCUGCAAGGAGGUGACUUGCCUGCUCCAAAUGCCCUGAGAAGUGAAGGCGAGAGCCUUAGCACAGCAUUGUGCUACCUGUGUCUUCUCCAUCCCUGCUACCUGCAUCCCUCCUUGCACAACCAGACCAUGGCUUUCAGGGUGACUGAUGUCCCCAUCAAGGAACAGUUUGUGACAAAGGAAUACAUCUUCCAUGAGGAGGAUGACCAGGAAUUGGACAACAUGAACUGAAGAAAACAUCUCCUGCCUCAGCAAUGGGCUCCCAAACCAAAACAGACAUUACUGCCUGGAAGUAAUUCGGAGGAACUCUACCAGCAAGUGUGAAAUGAAUGCAAAUGUGCAGCUUCUUUAGACUUAAUUGUAGAAGAGCAUCUGUUUACAUUUCAUUUCAGUACUACAGUGAACCCUCAUCUAUUGGGAAGUUUGCAGCCUGCAAAGAUAGCAUGUUGUUGAGUGGUUUUGAAAAGAAUAUACCAUCAUUCACCAGGUUCAUGCUGCUUGCCUCUAUUCAGCCACUCACCAGAGCCACCCUAUCGAAACUACAACUGUGGAUGUAAGCAUUUCUGAGAGCUGUAAUUGAACUCCCCAUCACAACCUUUAAAGCAAUCAUUUUGAUUACUCUUAGCUUAGCAAUUAUGGCUGAGUGACACAUUUUCAGCUUUGGAAAAUGAUAUGCCUAGCCCAGCUACCCUAUGCAUAAGUGUCUCAUAUACAUAUAUCCACAUAGAUAUACAUAUUUACCAGCUUUCACGUGCUAAAUGGUUUCUAAGCUCCUGCCUGCCAAGGAGCUGGCUGAUCCAUGAGCAGGAUUCCUGUUGGAUGGCUGCAUGAUGUGUGCCAACAGCUCCCUCUGGGUUUUUUGUCUGAGAUUUACUUCAGUUGCAGAAAAAUCAGGGAACGUCUUUGUUCCCAGAAGUACUCCUGGCAGCCGACCUUGGAUCACGACCCAUCAUCGCAGCCCAGUUGCACAGUCUCUAGACAGCAUCUCCUCGGGGCCAGCACAACCUGGGGUGAUGAGACAAGCUCUGUAAUGGAAACGAUUGUGCCUUUGUGUCUGGGCAGCCAGCAAGUGUCAUUCUUUGAAACACAGCGGCUAUUUCAGAAAGAGCAUCUCUAGCGGAGAUGCAGCAGUUUUCCAGGGCACCAUGGAGACAUCCAGUUGCAUAACCCUGACAGUCACUGGGAGACAGUCUGCUGGCAAGCAUUACUGAUACCCCCCGCUCCUGCUCAGCAUGAAGUCCCAAUGACCUCAGCCCUUGGCCGCCUUGUCCACCUCCAACAAGGAAUGUUAGAGAGAACAUCUCAGGAGCCCCUCCCAUAAGCUAUGAACCAAAGCCCUUAAUUUUACAGCUACUAAAAUAUACCAAAGUUCAACACAAUAGCUUUUCAAGUUGACUAACUGGUACGUGGGAGCCAAAAAGCAGGAGCCAUGUAGAUUUAUCAUGUCGUUAAAGGGAACUGGGGUGAGUGUUAGGCAGAGGAUGGAGAUUGCGAGCCCGGAGCUGAGGGCAACAGCUUUAUGAUGAGUUUCACCAUCUGAAAGCCUGGUGUUGUGCACUGCAGCAACCAGCGUUGAGCUCGUCAGAUCUCAGAUUUGCAGCAGGCUGCUUUGCUUCUUUGUUCAUCAAAACAGGGAAGAAAUAGUGGAGCACUUUGGAAAAAUCCUGGAGAAUCUGGUAGAGAUGGAAUUGAGGGUGCUUAGGAACUUGCAGAGUCCAAGGCAGAAAUUACUGUAAAUACUUGUUGAAUUUAGUAAGUGUUUUUAUGCUUCCUGUUGGGUUAUUUUUAACACUCUUGUAGGAUUCCAUAGUGGGAUAUGAUUAUGCAUUAAAUUUUAAUGGUUGUUUUAAAAAUAAAAGCUGUCGAAUGCUAUCAUUUUCUAUUAGGUAAUACAGAGUGCCUCCAUUAGGAGUGUUUUUCUCCUUCCAAACAAAGCCUAGGCAGGCUCGAGCAACAGUCAUGAGCAAAAUAAUCCCAGCUUGGGGAAGAUAUUAAUAAAAUCCAGGCUGCAAAAUGUGCAGGAAGCUGCUCUAAUGUAUCCAUUUCCAAUUUCUGUUCACACAGGUGAACUCAAGAGCAAACCAAGGUUCACCACAUCCUAAUUGCAUUUGGGGGCACUGCUGAAAACUUCAACUUUGAGAUUUUCCUUAAGGAAUUCUCCUUGAUUCGUAUCUUCUUUUGUGAUCAAGGAAAAGUUUUCCUGCAAUUUGAAGAACCUGUAUACAUUUCAUGCCUUUUCUAAUCUAACCCCAUGUGGCACAGAUCAAAGGCCUUCAUGAAGUUCAGAGCAUGAAGCUCAGUAAUCUUGCAUCCUGAAUGAAUUAUCUGCCAGGAAGAGGUUUAAGUCUCAUGUGAAGGUAUCAUUGGCUUCUGUCAUCAUGUACGCUCCUUUGGCUGUAUGAUUAAUUGCUGUGAUUUCUGUAGGACUAACAUGGUCAUGUCUCAUUAGCUGUCUUUGGCCACCACACAUUCAUCAGUCAGGCAUCAUCAGAACACCUUUGGUUUUUAAGAUCGUACUAGGUUUUCACAGAUCAUGCCCAAUUUUUAUUGGAGUGCUUGUGAAUUCUGGUUGAAUUCAAGCCGCACUGGGCAAGGGGUGAAAUGUUCUCUGCAAGCUCAAGAGCUGAGCAGGCCAAGAUGAAGAAAGAUUGGGGAGAAUGUGGUCAGCUGCAAAUAUCACGUGAGUGUUCCCAGUAUUUGGGGUCAUUAACUUUGGUUUGGCAGGAUUUCGGUAGGAGGAAAUUUGCUAGAGGAAGAUGAGAAGAUCACCAGACAAGGGUGCCACGUCACUGUGCUCAG
ensembl:lncRNA